GUCCAUUUGAUGAUAUAAAUGGUCUGGCCUGCUCACUGAUAAAUAUAUUUAAGAGCCGCGGUAUUUUGACCGUGCAAAGGUAGCAUAAUCAUUAGGGGUUUAAUUGGAACCUGGAAUGAAGGGUUGGACAAAGGAGAAGCUGUCUCAGUAUUAUAAAUUGAAUUUUACUUUUAAGUGAAAAGGCUUAAAUAGAUCAAAGGGACGAUAAGACCCUAUAAAGCUUUAUAAAUUAUUUGGAUUCAGUUAAUUUAGAUUAUAAAAAUUGAAUUUAAUUAUUUUAUUUUAUUGGGGCGAUAUGAGUAUAAUUUUUAUUAACUGCUUAAAAGGAAUACAAGUUUAAGUGUUUGUAAAUUAAAUGAUCCUUUAUAAAGAUUAAAAGACUAAGUUACUUUAGGGAUAACAGCGUUAUUUCUUUUGAGAGUUCAUAUCGAAAAAGAAGAUUGCGACCUCGAUGUUGAAUUAAAAUAUCUAUAUAGUGCAGUCGUUAUAUAAGAGGGUCUGUUCGACCUUUAAAUUUUU
rnacentral:rRNA from 1 species